ACGGGGGGUGCAAGCGUUGUCCGGAAUCAUUGGGCGUAAAGCGUUCGUAGGCGGUAUAUCAAGUCUGGUGUUAAAGCCCGGGGCUCAACUCCGGUUCGGCACUGGAUACUGGUAAACUAGAAUGUGGUAGAGGUAAGGGGAAUUCCUGGUGUAGCGGUGAAAUGCGUAGAUAUCAGGAGGAACAUCGGUGGCGAAAGCGCCUUACUGGGCCAUUAUUGACGCUGAGGAACGAAAGCCGGGGGAGCAAAUGG
rnacentral:rRNA from 1 species